UACGGGGGGGGCAAGCGUGGUUCGGAAUUACUGGGCGUAAAGGGCUCGUAGGCGGCCAACUAAGUCGGAUGUGAAAUCCCCAAGCUUAACUUGGGAACUGCAUCCGAUACUGGAUGGCUUGAAUCCGGGAGAGGGAUGCAGAAUUCCAGGUGUAGCGGUGAAAUGCGUAGAUAUCUGGAGGAAUACCGGUGGCGAAGGCGGCAUCCUGGACCGGCAUUGACGCUGAGGAGCGAAAGCUAGGGGAGCAAACGGG
rnacentral:rRNA from 1 species